rnacentral:rRNA from 1 species
UACGGGGGGAGCAAGCGUUGUUCGGAUUUACUGGGCGUAAAGGGCGCGUAGGCGGCCAGCACAAGUCAGUUGUGAAAUCUCCGAGCUUAACUCGGAAAGGUCAACUGAUACUGCGCGGCUAGAGUGCGGAAGGGGCAACUGGAAUUCUUGGUGUAGCGGUGAAAUGCGUAGAGAUCCGGAGGAACACCAGAGGCGAAGGCGGCCUACUGGGCUGCACCUGACGCUGAGCCGCGAAAGCCAGGGGAGCGAACGGG